UACGAAGGGGGCUAGCGUUGCUCGGAAUCACUGGGCGUAAAGCGCACGUAGGUGGGUCGUUAAGUCAGGGGUGAAAUCCUGGAGCUCAACUCCAGAACUGCCCUUGAUACUGGCGAUCUCGAGUUCGGGAGAGGUGAGUGGAACUGCGAGUGUAGAGGUGAAAUUCGUAGAUAUUCGCAAGAACACCAGUGGCGAAGGCGGCUCACUGGCCCGAUACUGACGCUGAGGUGCGAAAGCGUGGGGAGCAAACAGG
rnacentral:rRNA from 1 species